GAGUGGCGAACGGGUGAGUAAUACAUCGGAACGUGUCCUGGAGUGGGGGAUAGCCCGGCGAAAGCCGGAUUAAUACCGCAUACGCUUAUGGAGGAAAGGGGGGGAUCUUCGGACCUCUCGCUCAAGGGGCGGCCGAUGGCAGAUUAGCUAGUUGGUGGGGUAAAGGCCUACCAAGGCGACGAUCUGUAGCUGGUCUGAGAGGACGACCAGCCACACUGGGACUGAGACACGGCCCAGACUCCUACGGGAGGCAGCAGUGGGGAAUUUUGGACAAUGGGCGCAAGCCUGAUCCAGCAAUGCCGCGUGUGUGAAGAAGGCCUUCGGGUUGUAAAGCACUUUUGUCCGGAAAGAAAACUUCUGUCCUAAUACGGCGGGGGGAUGACGGUACCGGAAGAAUAAGCACCGGCUAACUACGUGCCAGCAGCCGCGGUAAUACGUAGGGUGCGAGCGUUAAUCGGAAUUACUGGGCGUAAAGCGUGCGCAGGCGGUUCGUUAAGACAGAUGUGAAAUCCCCGGGCUUAACCUGGGAACUGCAUUUGUGACUGGCGGGCUAGAGUAUGGCAGAGGGGGGUAGAAUUCCACGUGUAGCAGUGAAAUGCGUAGAGAUGUGGAGGAAUACCGAUGGCGAAGGCAGCCCCCUGGGCCAAUAC
rnacentral:rRNA from 1 species